rnacentral:lncRNA from 1 species
AGCAGGGCCUGGAGCAAUCAAGGCUCUCAUGGCUUGCUGCAUGUUGGUUCUCAAAGAAAAAAGAUUCUAAAAUGGAAAUUGAAAAUCCGUUGUUUUUCAGGGAGUGAUCUUGGUGCCAAUGUGGGAUGGAAAAGGAGCAAGAUUGAAGAGAUGGAGAAUUCCAGUAAAGUCUUCAGCUGGUCCUAAAGAUGCCAGAGAAGAGUUUGUGAUAUUCACGCCUGAUAAUGAGAUCUCCACUCUUUUGAAGGUGAACAAAUGAGCUUGAAUGUGUUGCUGUUUCAAUAAGAAGCAACAAAUACUAAACAAAAACAAACUGGGAUAGGAGUACAAGGGGGAACCAAGAUUGAAAUUCUGUUUAUCUCUACUGCAACCUUACUAGAGUUGGAUGGAGAAACUGGAAAUCUUAGGUAUACAUUCAGCUCUCCCUUGCCUUUG